rnacentral:rRNA from 1 species
GAUGAACGCUGGCGGCGUGCCUAAUACAUGCAAGUCGAGCGAACGGACGAGAAGCUUUCUUCUCUGAUGUUAGCGGCGGACGGGUGAGUAACACGUGGAUAACCUACCUAUAAGACUGGGAUAACUUCGGGAAACCGGAGCUAAUACCGGAUAAUAUUUUGAACCGCAUGGUUCAAAAGUGAAAGACGGUCCUGCUGUCACUUAUAGAUGGAUCCGCGCUGCAUUAGCUAGUUGGUAAGGUAACGGCUUACCAAGGCAACGAUGCAUAGCCGACCUGAGAGGGUGAUCGGCCACACUGGAACUGAGACACGGUCCAGACUCCUACGGGAGGCAGCAGUAGGGAAUCUUCCGCAAUGGGCGAAAGCCUGACGGAGCAACGCCGCGUGAGUGAUGAAGGUCUUCGGAUCGUAAAACUCUGUUAUUAGGGAAGAACAUAUGUGUAAGUAACUGUGCACAUCUUGACGGUACCUAAUCAGAAAGCCACGGCUAACUACGUG